UAGAGUUUGAUCCUGGCUCAGGAUGAACGCUGGCGGCGUGCCUUAGGCAUGCAAGUCGAAUGGUCCUCGUAAGAGGGCAAUGGCAGACGGGUGAGUAACGCGUAGGAAUCUACCUCUGGGUAGGGCAUAGCUGGCCGAAAGGUCAGGUAAUUCCCUAUAGUCUCGCAAGAGUAAAGGACUUAACGGUCCGCCGAGAGAGGAGCCUGCGUCCUAUCAGCUAGUUGGUGAGGUAAAGGCUCACCAAGGCGAUGACGGGUAGCUGGACUGAGAGGUCGAUCAGCCACAACUGCACUGAGACACGGGCAGUACACCUACGGGUGGCAGCAACCAGGAAUAUUGCGCAAUGGACGAAAGUCUGACGCAGCCACGCCGCGGGGAGGAACACGCCCUUACCGGUGCACACUCCUUUUGACAAGCCCUUCCAGUUUGUAGGAGUAGCCCCGUAUGCGCACGUUCGCGGAGCCACGGGUGAAGCGAGCUGGCGGGCCGUCCUCGGCUUUCUGGUUUUUCAUUUAUGAUGAACCCCGGGACGGGCCGGCGCGUUGGGCGCUGUGGGGUGCGGUGUGAGCGCCCCCCCGCCGGUUUGGCGAGGUGGCGGUGGUAUUUCCCCCGCCGGAGCCAUUCCCCUUAUGCGAUCGGAUACUCCCCCCACGCCUUUUUCGCUGCUAUGCGGUUUCGUGCGCACUUUGCGGGCCCCACCGGCCGCCCGCCGUAUAUGUGUGCCCCUAUUUGUUCCGCCCUAAUUCGCACCUGCACGUGGCGUCACCCUGCUGACGCUGCCUAUUAGAGAGCGUCCGCGGUGCGUGGGGAUAACUNGCGGCGAUGCUAUUUUUGUUGUACCGAUUGUUUCCGCCGCCGG
rnacentral:rRNA from 1 species